UACGGAGGGAGCUAGCGUUAUUCGGAAUUACUGGGCGUAAAGCGCACGUAGGCGGCUUUGUAAGUUAGAGGUGAAAGCCUGGAGCUCAACUCCAGAAUUGCCUUUAAGACUGCAUCGCUUGAAUCCAGGAGAGGUGAGUGGAAUUCCGAGUGUAGAGGUGAAAUUCGUAGAUAUUCGGAAGAACACCAGUGGCGAAGGCGGCUCAC
rnacentral:rRNA from 1 species